rnacentral:rRNA from 1 species
CUACUGGGGUAUCUAAUCCUGUUUGCUCCCCACGCUUUCGCGCCUCAGCGUCAAUGCCGGUCCAGUUGGCCGCCUUCGCCACCGGUGUUCUUCCCAAUCUCUACGAAUUUCACCUCUACACUGGGAAUUCCACCAACCUCUCCCGGAUUCGAGCACGCCAGUAUCAAAUGCAAUUCCCGGGUUGAGCCCAGGGCUUUCACAUCUGACUUAGCGCACCGCCUACGCGCCCUUUACGCCCAGUAAUUCCGAACAACGCUUGCCCCCUUCGUAUUACCGCGGCUGCUGGCAC